GGGCCCGCACAAGCGGUGGAGCAUGUGGUUUAAUUCGAUGCAACGCGAAGAACCUUACCUGGUCUUGACAUACACAGAAUCUUGUAGAGAUACGAGAGUGCCUUCGGGAAUUGUGAUACAGGUGCUGCAUGGCUGUCGUCAGCUCGUGUCGUGAGAUGUUGGGUUAAGUCCCGCAACCGAGCGCAACCCCUUGUCCUUAGUUUACCCAGCACUUCGGGUGGGGAACUCUAAGGAUACUGCCAGUGACAAACUGGAGGAAGGGCGGGGACGACGUCAAGUCAUCAUGGCCCUUACGGACCAGGGCUACACACGUGCUACAAUGGUAGGUACAGAGGGCAAGCUACACAGCGAUGUGAUGC
rnacentral:rRNA from 1 species